AUACGUAGGGGGCGAGCGUUGUCCGGAAUGAUUGGGCGUAAAGGGCGCGUAGGCGGCCCGGUAAGUCUGGAGUGAAAGUCCUGUUUUUAAGAUGGGAAUUGCUUUGGAUACUGUCGGGCUUGAGUGCAGGAGAGGUAAGUGGAAUUCCCAGUGUAGCGGUGAAAUGCGUAGAGAUUGGGAGGAACACCAGUGGCGAAGGCGACUUACUGGACUGUAACUGACGCUGAGGCGCGAAAGUGUGGGGAGCAAACAGGAUUAGGUACCCUGGUAGUCCACACUGUAAACGAUGAAUGCUGGGUGUAGGGGGUAUCGACCCCUUCUGUGCCGCAGUCAACACAAUAAGCAUUCCGCCUGGGGAGUACGGCCGCAAGGUUGAAACUCAAAUGAAUUGACGGGG
rnacentral:rRNA from 1 species